GACGAACGCUGGCGGCGUGCCUAAUACAUGCGAGUAGAACGCUGAAGGAGGAGCUUGCUUCUCUGGAUGAGUUGCGAACGGGUGAGUAACGCGUAUGUAACCUGCCUGGUAGCGGGGGAUAACUCUUGGAAACGCUAGCUAAUACCGCAUAAGAGUAGAUGUUGCAUGACAUUUACUUAAAAGGUGCAAUUGCAUCACUACCAGAUGGACCUGCGUUGUAUUAGCUAGUUGGUGAGGUAACGGCUCACCAAGGCAACGAUACAUAGGCGGCCUGGGAGGGGGAUCGGCCACACUGGGACUGAGACAAGGCCCAGGCUCCUACGGGGGGCAGCAGGAGGGAAACUUCGGGAAUGGACGGAAGUCUGAACGAGCAACGCCGCGGGAGUGAAGAAGGGUGUCGGAUCGGAAAGCUCUGUUGUAAGAGAAGAACGAGUGUGGGAGUGGAAAGUUCACGCUGUGACGGUAUCUUACCAGAAAGGGACGGCUAACUACGUG
rnacentral:rRNA from 1 species